UCAGAGCGAACGUUUAGCGGCGGGCCUAACACAUGCAAGUCGAACGCGAAAGGUCUUCGGACUGAGUAGAGUGGCGCACGGGUGAGUAACACGUAGGUAAUCUACCCUUUGGCGGGGGAUAACGUUCCGAAAGGAGCGCUAAUACCGCAUAAGACCACGGAGUCUCCGGACGCUGUGGGAAAAGGUGGCCUCUUCUUGAAAGCUACCACCGAAGGAUGAGCCUGCGUCCCAUCAGCUAGUUGGUAAGGUAAUGGCUUACCAAGGCGAAGACGGGUAGCUGGUUUGAGAGAAUGAUCAGCCACACUGGCACUGGAACACGGGCCAGACUCCUACGGGAGGCAGCAGUGAGGAAUAUUGGGCAAUGGGCGAAAGCCUGACCCAGCCACGCCGCGUGAGUGAUGAAGGCCCUCGGGUCGUAAAGCUCUGUGGAGAGGGACGAAAACCCUGGUUUCAAAUAGGCUCCAGGCUUGACGGUACCUCUUUAGCAAGCACCGGCUAACUCUGUG
rnacentral:rRNA from 1 species